rnacentral:tRNA from 1 species
ACCGAAAUAGCUCAGUUGGGAGAGAGUUAGACUAUAGACCGAAAAGUCCCUGGUUCGAUCCCGGGUUCCGGCA